rnacentral:rRNA from 1 species
AGCGAACGCUGGCGGCAGGCCUAACACAUGCAAGUCGAACGAACUCUUCGGAGUUAGUGGCGUACGGGUGAGUAACACGUGGGAACGUGCCUUUAGGUUCGGAAUAACUCAGGGAAACUUGUGCUAAUACCGAAUGUGCCCUUCGGGGGAAAGAUUUAUCGCCUUUAGAGCGGCCCGCGUCUGAUUAGCUAGUUGGUGAGGUAAAGGCUCACCAAGGCGACGAUCAGUAGCUGGUUUGAGAGGAUGAUCAGCCACAUUGGGACUGAGACACGGCCCAAACUCCUACGGGAGGCAGCAGUGGGGAAUCUUGCGAAAUGGGCGAAAGCAUGACGCAGCCAUGCCGGGUGAAUGAUGAAGGUAUUAGGAUUGUAAAAUUCUUUCAACGGGGACGAUAAUGACGGUACCCGAAGAAGAAGCCCCGGCUAACUUCGUG